rnacentral:rRNA from 1 species
UACGUAGGGGCCUAGCGUUGUCCGGAAUUAUUGGGCGUAAAGAGCUCGUAGGCGGUUCGGCAAGUCGGAUGUGAAAUCUCCACGCUUAGCGUGGAGGGGCCAUUCGAAACUGCUGUGACUCGAGUCCGGUAGGGGAGUGUGGAAUUCCCGGUGUAGCGGUGAAAUGCGCAGAUAUCGGGAGGAACACCAGUAGCGAAGGCGGCACUCUGGGCCGGUACUGACGCUGAGGAGCGAAAGCGUGGGGAGCAAACAGG